rnacentral:rRNA from 1 species
UACGUAGGGUGCAAGCGUUAAUCGGAAUUACUGGGCGUAAAGCGUGCGCAGGCGGCUCUAUAAGACAGAUGUGAAAUCCCCGGGCUUAACCUGGGAACUGCAUUUGUGACUGCAUCGCUGGAGUGCGGCAGAGGGGGAUGGAAUUCCGCGUGUAGCAGUGAAAUGCGUAGAUAUGCGGAGGAACACCGAUGGCGAAGGCAAUCCCCUGGGCCUGCACUGACGCUCAUGCACGAAAGCGUGGGGAGCAAACAGG